rnacentral:rRNA from 1 species
AUGGGAAAGGGUGACAGGGAGAAGGAAGCGAAGCACCGACGACGCGGCCGCAGCAGCAAGAGAUCGCGCAAUGCCACACCCUCGUCGGACUCUGAUUCUUCCCCUUUGUCGGACUCCUCUCCUAGCCGCAGCCCCGGGCCCCGGAGUCGCAGUAGCAGCAAACCUGAAAAGUCGUCCUCAUCUCGUCGCCGCCGCCAUCACCAUAAGAGCAGCGGCCGCUCACGCAGUUCCCGUGACGAUGAUAGACAUCGUCACCGGCGGAGGCGCCGGGAUGAGCGUGCCCGUCACAGCAGCGAUGGCAGCGACCUGUCGGGAUCAGGCUCAGAUGAUUCAGGAUGGAUGGAGGAGGCGCAGGAAAUCGUCCGUGGCAUUCUCAGUGAAUUCCCUGCCAUCACCAGUGAGCUUCGUCAGCUUCUCCAAAUGAUAGAUAGUGGUGAAGGCAUUGAUAUUUCCGGAAUUUCUGACAAGCCAUUAGUGAAGCAUUUGAAGAAACUUUUCAGAUCCCUGAAAUUGAAAGAAAGUGCAAAUGGAGCUUACUUGCUUUCAGCAAAAGGUGUUCCUACCCUUGAUGUUGUUGGACCAGUAUUAGAAGCAAGUGCCAAACAUGGAAAUGAUCCAAAUGAAACUGUGGCACGAAAUAGACAACAAGUACCGUUGCCUAACUUUGACGUACAAAAUAAAGAUGACAUCCCUCCUGAAGAUGGAGGAAAAGUUGACCGGGAAGAGGACACCCCUAUAAAGAGGGUAAUUGGUCCUGCAAUGCCAUCACGUGAAUUACUAGCUGCAGCAGCCGAAAUGACAGAGGCUCUUAGGUGCCGGGAUGCUGAAUUGGAAGCUGAUGAUGGAUUUCUUAUAGGUCCUCCACCACCAGCCAUGGUCGCUGAAGCUGCAUCUGCAAAUGAAGCCGAGCGAUUCGAAGAGGUUACUCGAAUAUUGGGUGCUGAUGCAGAUGCACUCUAUGAUGUUCUGGGCAUAAAUUGGAAGAUGUCGUCUGAUAACAUCAAGAAAAGGUAUUGGAAGCUAUCUCUUUUAGUGCAUCCGGACAAGUGCCCUCAUCCUUCAGCACAGGAGGCUUUUGUGAAAUUGAACAAUGCCUUUAAAGACUUACAAGACCCUCAAAAGAGAGGCGCAAUAGAUGAGAAGAUACAAAAGAAAGAAGAGAUGGAACAAUUCGAGGUUGAGCUUAAAGCAAUGCGCGAGGCUGCAGAAUGGAGACAAUUACAAGGUAUAUCUCUUGAAGGCGAUGAAGAACUUUUGGCAGUUCCGAAACAGCCAGAGGCACCACCUACACGAGAUGAAUGGAUGACUACAUUGCCACCUGAAAGAAAAGCUGGAGUACCAAUGCAUUCAACUACGGCAUUUAGCAUGAAUGGCAAAGAGGGACGUGGUGACACAAGUGCAUGGACAGAUAGUCCACUUGAUAGAGCCCAGAAAGCACAGCAAAACUACUUAGAAGCCUACAACAAAGCAAAGGCAAUUGCAGAUGGACAUGAAGAGCAGGGCAAAAGCGCAAAUGCUUCUCUUGUGGAUAAAUACAACUCCUCUAAGCGGUCGGUAUCUCUUGUGCAGAAGCACCGAGAGAGCAAAAAGGAGAAAAAAAAGCAGAAGCAACAACGAGGGAAGGAAGAAUGGGAGGAGAACCACCCAUGGAAGCCGUGGGACCGUGAGAAAGACUUGACCGCUGGGCGGCAAAAUGUGGCUUUGGAUCCAGAGAACACGGCACAAGGACUGUCGUCCCGUUUCUCAUCUGGAGCUGUGCAGAGGAACUUCCUGUGA